rnacentral:rRNA from 1 species
GGGGGGGGCAAGCGUUGUUCGGAAUUACUGGGCGUAAAGGGCUCGUAGGUGGCCAACUAAGUCGGACGUGAAAUCCCCAGGCUCAACUUGGGAACUGCGUCCGAUACUGGAUGGCUUGAAUUCGGGAGAGGGAUGCAGAAUUCCAGGUGUAGCGGUGAAAUGCGUAGAUAUCUGGAGGAAUACCGGUGGCGAAGGCGGCAUCCUGGACCGAGAUUGACACUGAUGAGCGAAAGCCAGGGGAGCAAACGGGAUUAGAUACCCCGGUAGUCCUGGCCCUAAACGAUGAAUGCUUGGUGUGACGGGUAUCGAUCCCUGUCGUGCCGAAGCUAACGCAUUAAGCAUUCCGCCUGGGGAGUACGGUCGCAAGGCUGAA